UCUGGCGAUGUGACUAAGUUCUAGCCAGUGGUUUGCAAGCAGUAGUGAGGAAGUUUCCUUGAAGAGAAGGAAUGUUCCUUUAGCUUCCCCUUUCCUUCUCGCUGCAAUCUGGAAAGCAGACGUGAUGGCUGGUGUUGGAGCAGCAAACUUGGCCUUGAAGUGACCUCGUAAACCUGAGGGGACCACAGCAUGGAAGGUGCCGCUUCACGACACUGUGGAGUAUUAUACUAACUAGAGGACUCUAUCUCUGGAUAUCCUAUCUCUGGAUUUGUGGUGACAAACCUCACUCUCAGGACUAAUAGCAGAAUGGAGAAGACAGAAAAAAAAAAUCAGUGAAUGUAAAAGUUCACCAGUAGAAAUGUUCCAAUCUGAAGAAGAAGGAGAAAGAUUUCUUAAAAAAGAACAAGCCCUCUAGGAUUUGUAGGACAAUAGCAGACGUCUACUGAUGUCUGAGAAGAAAGGAGAGAAAUGAUGGGGCAGAAAAAAUAUUUGAAGAAAUAGUGACUGAAAAUUUCCCCGAUCUGCUGAAAGUCAUGAAUUUAUAGAUUCAAGAAAUCCAGUGAACCCCAAGGAAAAUAAACGUAAAUAAAACCACAUCUGGAUGCAUUAUAGUCAGAAUACUGAAAACUAGAGAGAAAGAGAAUAUUUGAAAGCAGCGAGAGAAAAACAACACAUUACAUAGUGGGCAACAGUAAUUUUGACACCCACAGACUUCUUGUGAGAAAACAUGGAGUACCAGAAAAUAGUGGAACAACAUCGUUAAAGUACCAGAAGGAAACAUUGUCAACCUAGAAUUCUAUAUACAGCAAAUAUAUCCCUCCAAAAAGAAAGCAGACACUCUUUUACAAUGCCAGCAGAUCUUCACUGGAAGAAAAGCAAAACAAGUUCUUCAAGCUGGUGGGAAAUUAUACCAGAGGGAAACUUGGACCCCCAGAAAGGAAUAAAGAACACCAGUAAUGGCAGUGUGCUCCUGAAGGGGACCAUCUCUCUGCUGAGUUCCCAGGCUUGAGGACAGAACUGGAUGCUUAUGGCAUGGUCCUGACCAAAUGCAGAACAUCCCAGAAUCAGCACCCAGGAGGACACAGCCGUCACGGAAUCCAACCUGACAAAUGUCUCAGUCUCCCUUAAUAGAAAUCUCUCAUCUAAGAUUAGUUUUUAAACAGAUUUCUUAAGGUAAUUAACGUGCACAUUAUAUUUUUAAAAACUUGGCCAUUAAAAGUCAGCCUUCCUCCUAUCCUGGAACUAUAAACGAAUAAACCCAAAGUUUUGCUAUGUGUUCAGUCUGAACCCCCUCCUGGGGGACAGGUGGCAGGGCGUGGGGUGGGGCUGGACACACCAGCGACAGGAGCAGUUGGGUUUUGCAUUCUUCUCUGCUCAAGCAGAUGUCUGCCUCAUGUUCUUUUUUUAGCUUUGGAAACCAACUUCCUGGAAUCUAUGUCCUCACCAUGGGCAAGCAAUAAUAGUAUUCCAGAAAGCUUGCUUUUAUGGAGGAAAAUCCAGCUAAGCAUAGUGGGCUGGUCCUGCCAGUUUCAUAAAACGCAGAAUUUGCAUGAAGAGGAAAGUCCUUCAUAACUGAGAGUUGAAGGAGUAUGGGUGGGGGAGUGUAGCUAGAAAUAAUCUCUGCUGGUUAAAUUUAGGGAUUUAAAAAACAAGCCACUGGUGAAACGCUAUUUAAUAUUCAAAUGGUUUGGAAUUGUUUCUCUUCAGAGGACAGGAAAGAGUGGAAAAGUGAAAAGGUCAUGGGCUAUGGAAUCUGAUAGAAUUGGUUUCAUUCCCAUUCUGUCGCUCAUGGCGGUAGCAAGUCACUAAGCACUAAGCCUCAGUUUUCCCAUCUGUGAAAUGAUCCUGGCAUAUAGUAAAUACUUGACAAAUACAGUUUUCCUACCCAUCACUUCCAUCUCCCUGUGCUUUGGUGUUUUCUGGCUGCCAAAUAACAAACCAUUCCCAAACCGACUGCCCUCAAUGGACGAGGCGUUACUCGUGCUGAGUGCUCAAGCCGCAUCCAGUCAUGGCUUCUGGUAUUCUCGCCCUUCUUUGAUCCUCUGCCCUUAUGUGUGGCUGGACACAGUGACU